GAUGAACGCUGGCGGCGUGCCUAAUACAUGCAAGUCGAGCGAAGCGGGGACGGGUGAGUAACACGUGGAUAACCUCCUAUAAGACUGGGAUAACUUCGGGAAAACGGAGCUAAACCGGAUAAUUAUAGAUUGAUCCGCGCUGCAUUAGGUAGAUGGUAAGGUAACGGCUUAACAAGGCAACGAUGCAUAGCCGACCUGAGAGGGUGAUCGGCAACACUGGAACGGAGAAACGUUCCAGACUCCUACGGGAGGCAGCAGUAGGGAAUCUUCCGCAAUGGGCGAAAGCCUGACGGAGCAACGCCGCGGGAGUGAUGAAGGUCUUCGGAUCGUAAAACUCUGUUAAUCGGGACGCGGUACCGGAAUAGAAAGCCACGGCUAACUACGUGCCAGCCGCCGCGGUAAUUC
rnacentral:rRNA from 1 species